rnacentral:rRNA from 1 species
UGAGGAAUAUUGGUCAAUGGACGCAAGUCUGAACCAGCCAAGUAGCGUGCAGGAUGACGGCCCUAUGGGUUGUAAACUGCUUUUAUAUGGGGAUAAAGUGGGGAACGUGUUCCCUUUUGCAGGUACCAUAUGAAUAAGGACCGGCUAAUUCCGUGCCAGCAGCCGCGGUAAUACGGAAGGUUCGGGCGUUAUCCGGAUUUAUUGGGUUUAAAGGGAGCGUAGGCCGUUUGGUAAGCGUGUUGUGAAAUGUAGGAGCUCAACUUCUAGAGUGCAGAGCGAAGUGUCAGACUUGCGGGCGCACGACGUAGGCGGAAUUCAUGGUGUAGCGAGGAAAUGCUUAGAUAUCAUGAAGAACGCCGAUUGCGAAGGCAGCUUGCGGGAGCGCAACUGACGCUGAAGCUCGAAGGUGCGGGUAUCGAACAGG